CUCCCUCCGUGCUGUUCUGCGUAAGCCACAGCAGCAGCUCGGUGUCUGCCCAGGGCAGUGUUAUGGGCUCGGCUCUUAUGUAGGUGAAGCUGGGAACGCUGUGAGGAUCAUGUGGAGCUCUCAGUCUCCUGAGCCUGGAGCUUUGAGCCUAUUUAUAGGUUUUCUGUGACUGUUCCGUGUCCUGCUGCUGCUGCUGCCAAUGUGGAUGCGAAUGCUGUGGCUACAAAGGCUUCUUACUGUCUCAUGCUGGGUCCCUCAAAUCCAAGAGCUACUUGGCAGUUUCCAAGGCAACCACCUGUGGAAUAAUUAAAAAGGAUGGAGUGUUAGCGUGCCAGAUAUAAGGAAUUCUUGCCUGGAGAGAGCGUUUCACUUUCGUCUUGAAGAAUCAAACGUGCUUCUGCCAGCAAAGUUAAGAAAAAGAAACGGUGGCUGAGUUACACAAGUGAACCAGGACGACAUAAAAUGUGUCCCUGUUCUUCUGAGAAGGUCCCCAGGCUUGGAUGGCAGUAAAGGAGACAAACCCUGAAGAGAGGAGAAGAUAAUGGGUGAGAUACCACAUCAAGAAAAAAGAAAGUCUACGCAGCCCAGAAUCAACACUUAAAUCUGUGUGGAAAGCCUUGUUGGAGUGCAAAAUGGAUUUAGAUUUUCAAAAUGAAAGAAUGGUGCUGAUCUCAAGAGGGCAUCUUGCAUAUGCCAGAGGAAGAACAUCUUGUUUGAGGGAAAACCUGCCUAUAAAUCUGUGCAAAUUGAAAGAACAACACAGAGAAGAGUAAUUCAAACAGCUCUGGGGUUUUCUUCUUCCAGAUUCUGAGGACAAACCUGCUGAAACUCAUCUCAACUCCUCAUGACAGCUGAGCAAGAGAGAUGGGAUUUGAUGCUAUCCAAAGAGUAAUUCCACAGUUCAUGUCUUUUGCUGGUGCCAGCUUAAUCAGUUUCUGCCCACUCCCAGCCAUCCAUUUCCAGCUCAGCAGCAAUGCAGUGCUCUUCCCUGACUGUGUGGAAAACCAGAUGACUGAAAAUAACUCGGUCAAGAAAAGAAACGCUUCGUUUUUUUGUUCUUUGUAUUAGAAUCAUUUGAAUGAAUUUCAUGGCCCACAGGCAGUCGUAUUGGUGCUGCUGAAGGUGACAAGAAGUGCAGCAUCAGAGGCAGCAGUGAGCACUGGAGGGUGUCCCAGUGCUGUGUGAUCUUGCUGUCAACAAAAAUCUGCUCUGGGACCAUAUCCUGAAUGAAGGGCUUUGACUAGCCACAGGAUUAUUUAUUGAACUGCUGCUUUUAAUUUAUUUUAUUAAGGAAGAUUAACAUCUUCUUGUUAGGGCAGGUUUGUUGUUUUUUUUUAACUUGAGGAGAUAAACUAUCUCUGUGAGAAGUCAGUCAGCUUUGUGGACAGCCAUGAAUGUCAAUAAAGUCUUGGCAAACACAGUAGGUAUUUAUUCAGCCUUGCAAAUUAAAAACAUUUUUCCUGCUUGUUUAGUGAAGAGAACAAAAAAAAGACAAAUUACAGAGCGGAUGAGCUCUCUUGAUAGUUGGAAUUCAUUAAGCUGGUGGUGAAAACGCUGGGGGAUUGAUGGUGCAGAAAAAGAAAAGAUGAAGCAGCUUUUCCCCAAUAGCUGUGGUUUAAGUUCAAGUUGAAAAUGACCAAAAAAAAAAAAAUCCCUUAAAGACAUCUGUAACCGACUUCACAAUCCCAAUUUCUAUCUGGGUAGACAGUUCUUUCUCACUGCAGUUAGUAUUAAUUGGUUUUUCAGUUGACAGAUAAUUUCUCAGUGGCUCCUCCAUCUCCAUCAUGCCAUGGGGUGUCUGCAGCAACUCAUAAAUGAGAUCCAUGACCAGACAUUUAAGUGGGAAGUUCACACAGUCCCUUCCCAUGGUACAGACAGAGCCUUUCUGCAGACUUGUCACUCUGUCAU